AGGACUACGUCCUACCCCAAUUUCACCUGACUCUCGAAACUCGUCUAACCUAACCACGUCCUGCCAUUCUCCCUAAUAAAUCAAUGUAGCCGCCCAUCUGGACUGGAAUAUGGCUAAAACAACUUACCCGUCUAGCUCCAC